CACAGUAACCUCCGACGAAAUGAGCAUCAAAUGAUCGGCAAAUCUCCGGCAGAUCGAAGCGGGCAUCGGACAUGGGGCUGCCUAAAUUACUUUCCCCCUUUUUUGGUAGCUGUCAAUCGGAUCGGAUGGUAUUGGAUCGGUAGAUGCCCGAGAUCUCUUUGUUAAGGCCAUGAUUAAUGAUGCAAAAUUAUGAACUCGCUUGUUCUCAGUGCCUCAGGGGCAGAGCCAGAGGCGGACUGACACUCGGUUCGCCCAUGUGUGAAAUUCGUUCAAUUGGUUUUCGAUGGAUGGUUUCCUUUGUGCCCCCAGAAUGGGGUCUCGUAUUCCCUAACCAUUUCACGGCUUCCCUAGUGAUCCCAGCAUUUGAUGUAAAGCGAAGUCGAGCCCCUAUUCUGAUCCCUCCAUUUAAUGCAAAGCGAAGUCGAGCCCCGCGAUCCACAGUAAUGACACCUUCCAUGUAUCGCUUACCACAAAACCGAAAUCAGCUCCCAGCUAUUUGUUCAGCCUGGGAAAAUCAACGAGUGGCAGAGAACACAGCCCCAAUUGCCCCAACGGCGCAACAUAGAUAAUCAAACUGAGUUGUAGUCAAAUGUGCCACAUAGAUGGAUGGAUUCGCCUGGUCCAUUGGUCCGUCUCAGUUCGGGCUUCAUGUGUGCCUCAGUCUGCGAGCUCAACUCUGGACCAUAAGUCAUCGGCAUUGAUAGCCAUCAAUCGCGAACCGCGAACCGCUUUCCACGGACCCAUGAACGUUGCUGGCAUGACCACAAAGCUGCCCAAAGUGGCGCGAAAUCUAAGUACAAUUAGUCGGGGGCUGAAGCUGGAGCUGUAUGUAGUUAUGGUGGAGAGGCAGGAGAUGGAAUGGUAUGGAUGCAGCUGGAUCUGAGGUUGUGGCAGAGAC